rnacentral:rRNA from 1 species
UACCCGCAGCACAAGUGGUGGUCAUUAUUAUUGGGCCUAAAGCGUCCGUAGCUGGCUUGUUAGAUGCCUGGGUAAAUCGAUGCGCUCAACGUAUCGACUUCCGGGUAGACCGGCAAGCUCGAGAACGGGAGAGGUGUAGGCUACUCGAGGGGUAGGGGUAAAAUCCUGUAAUCCUUCGGGGAGGACCAGUGGCGAAGGCGCUACACUAGAACGGCUCUGACAGUGAGGGACGAAGCCCUGGGGCGCAAACCGG